UACGUAGGAUGCAAGCGUCGUCCGGAAUUAUUGGGCGUAAAGAGCGCGCAGGCGGUCUAUCAAGUCAGAUGUGAAAUAUCCGGGCUUAACCCGGAGGGGUCAUUUGAAACUGGUAGACUAGAGUACAGCAGAGGAUAGCGGAAUUCCCGGUGUAGUGGUGAAAUGCGUAGAUAUCGGGAGGAACACCGAUGGCGAAGGCAGAUCUCUGGGCCGUAACUGACGCUGAGGAGCGAAAGCAUGGGGAGCGAACAGG
rnacentral:rRNA from 1 species